rnacentral:lncRNA from 1 species
UAGUCAGGCAAGAGCUGACCAGGCUCAAACACCAAUAUAGUGUGAUCGUUCACACCGCCUAGACUAGCGGUGCUGCCAAACUGCCCGUGCUACGGCAUGAGAUUUGGCUGCAUCUAGAAAGAACGAGAUGUCAGAGCUGGGUUGUGGUGACUUCACUUAAGCACAAUGCAUUGGAUACAAUUUUAUCUGAUGUCGAAGGAGGGCUGAACUUGCUGUCUAUUGUGAAGUUGGCGUCAGUCAGAUUGGUGAUACGAAUUGGAGACUUUGGGGCUAAAGAUAUGCAGGACCCACUUUUUCCCUGGGGCAAUACUUUGGAGUGCCAGUGCCUGCACACACAGGCAUUCACCACCUGCUUCUGGCCUCCUUCCAUGCACCACAUCUACACACAACACUAUAACAUCCUUAACACUCUUGAGAAAUGCACAACUCUUUCCAACAGACUGCAAAAGCAGAAGACAACAUUCUAG